rnacentral:rRNA from 1 species
UACGAAGGGUGCAAGCGUUACUCGGAAUUACUGGGCGUAAAGCGUGCGUAGGCGGUUUGUUAAGUCCGUUGUGAAAGCCCUGGGCUCAACCUGGGAAUUGCAGUGGAUACUGGCGAGCUAGAGUGCGGUAGAGGAUGGUGGAAUUCCCGGUGUAGCGGUGAAAUGCGUAGAGAUCGGGGAGGAACACCCGUGGCGAAGGCGGCCAUCUGGACCAGCACUGACGCUGAGGCACGAAAGCGUGGGGAGCAAACAGGG